AUGUAACGCCAUGGGGGUAGGAAGCCUGGAACUAUUCUCUGAAGCCCUGGGACACUGUCCUCAGCAGAAGCUACUCCAAGUUCUCAGCCUCUCCCUGCACCUUGUGAAUGAGAAAGCAGGGCUGGAACCCAGCAACCCGUGUUUUAAGAAGCCCCCUCAGGCAACUUGGGAAGCACACCCACUGAUAACGUUCACACACCUGGAAAGCCACAGCAACAUUCCAUAGAUCGGACCCACAAGAUUGCACUGUUGCAGGGUUAGCGGAGUGACUGGACGGAUCUCCUGCGUCGAGAGACAGCUGGCCGCACUUGUCCUGGUCUGAAUUCAUUAGCGGGGGCAUUGGGUCUAGGUUUUGUGACUGUCGUGUUUGUUUUCAGGGGAUUGACACUUUAUGUUGAAACCUAUGGUCCAUUUAAGAGACAGACAACUGCCUUGAUCUGAGUCAAGCCCAGCACUUCAUCAGGACCAUGUGACACAGUGACAUUUCACAGGACUGAAGAGUGCGAGCUUGGGUUUCUUUGGUCCCGCCUCUACUUGCUGGCGGCUGCAUUCCCGCAAACGUAUCCUUCCGCGGUAGAUCUCUCUUUCCCUGUCUACAAAAAUGGUACAUGUCAGCGCUCUUUGGAGAAGAUCACCACCCAUUGAGUUUAAGAAGCCCCUUCCUUAGUCCCCCCAUGGAGUUUUUGUUUAUCACAAUGCAUUAUACUUAGGUAGAUCUGCUGAUCCACAAGCUCUUACAGGCUGACUACCUGGUCACACCUGCUUCAUGGCACAGGGCUGACAGACAGCUCAGAAUUCUCUUUGAAUGAAUGAAUGGAUGAGCAAACUCUAUAGUUCAUGAAUCAUGUUCGCUUAGCACCAAAUGUUUUACACAGCAAAACCUAAUAUAAGAAAUGCACCCCAGGAGCAUUGCCUGCCUUAGCUGAAUGUGCAGAGAAUAAAUAGUACAGUGUGUUGUUCUGCCUCUCACGAAGCUCGUCCUAAUUUCAUCAAUUUUUCAGCAGCUUCCAGCAGAUGGCACCAAUAAAUACUGCCUUGGGACUGAACUGGAAACUGGUUGGUAUUUUCGUUCAACGUGAACUUAAAUGUCAAACUGGAUAAACCUUCCUUAGUUCGGCUAAUAAUAAUAAUAACAACGACUGGCAUUUAUUUGGCACUCUCCCACCUACAAAUGCUUUUAAAUCCCCGCCUUGGUUUUGCCUCAGAUUCUACCAGCUUUAAAAAGCUUUUGCGCACCUUGGACCUCUGUUGACGCAUCACAUGGUCGCAAUAGCAGUAUAAUUUAUGUUAAUCGCAACGCCAUAUUUUAUUUAGUAAUAACACCGGUCUUUCAAAGACCAACUGCUCUAUGGAUAAUUUAGGCGUGACCCUUUCUGUAAAAACAGCAGAGCACUGGUGAUCUCAGUAACUCGUGCUCUUAUUAAACAGUCCUGAUUCCUUCUGUUUGCAUGUUGCUCUGUAGAUACAGGGCCCUUGCACAGGCACAGCGUCCUCUGGUCUUAGAAUAAUCUUAAGACGUGGGCCAGCCGGGCCGUGGUGGCACAUGCCUUUAGUCCCGGAACUUGGAAGGCAGAGCCAGGGGGAUCUCUGUGAGUUCGAGGCCAGCCUGGUCUACAGAGUGAGUUCCAGGACAGGCUCCACAUCUACAGAGAAACCCUGUCUUGGAAAAAAACAACAAACAAACAAAAUAGAUGUGGGCCAAACAAGUAUUAUGAUAUUGACAAAGAAAAAGUGUUUUCCCUCUCUCCCACUCCACUCCUCAUGCCUGCUCCUUGAUCUUAUCAUUUCCUCCUUGGGGUAACUGGCUCAAGGUGUGCUCUUUUUCUUUUAACGGUAUGUGUAUAGGUGUUUCACCUGCAUGUAUGCAUGUAUGUGCACCACAUGUGAGCUGGUGCCUGCAGACACCAGGAGAUGGCAUCGGAUCCCACACAACCGUAAUUAUAGAUGUUGGUGAGCCACCACGUGGGUGCUGGGAAUUGAACCUGGGACCUCUGGAAGAGCAGCCAGUGUUCUUAACCACGAAAUCGUCUCUCCAUUCCUCAAGGACUGGCUCUUUAACAACACUCCCAGACAAAUUUCUUGGUCUGGACUGAAUUUGGAAACCUGGACAGAUAGGUCUGGUUCGUGUUGGAAAGCCUGGAGUGCCUGAAGCUGGGUUCAACAGAAACCGGUCGGGUUUUAGGGCUAGAACUGGGGUUUGUGGGGAGACCUCAGGUGUCUCAUUGGGUUAGACAAUAAACAAAAACUGAUCUGGGCUCAAUGGGUGGGUCAGGUUGCCAAAGGACAAGGAUUCAAGGGUUCAUCAGAUCUACAUUGAGGUUAGGCUGUGAAGGAGGGCGUAACCACGGGAGGUGCGGAGGAUCAGUGUGUGGCGGGAGAGUACAUAUGACCUUUGGGGAGUUGUGGUGCCCACUUGUUUAGAACUGUGCUGAUGUUUUGUUUAUGGUCUAACAAAUAAAGCCUGCCUGAGGGUCAGAGUGCAUAGUGAACCACACGUGUCAGCCACAGAGGCCAGACAGAGGUAGGCAGAAGAGAAGAUUAUGAGGCGGGAUGAGACAGGAAUGCACUCCCUCUCUUUUCAGUCCGAAGAUUCCAUGGAGGUGAGAACUCUCUAGCGGCUGGCAACUUUGCUUCUCUGAUCUUCAGCUUGAACCCCGACAUCUGUCUCCGGGAUUUUGCUAUUCAUGCUACGCUGGUCAGGAUGAAAAGAACGUGUCUUCAGAAUAAAUGGUUUGCAAGGAAGAUAAGUCGGCCCUUAAAGGAUGGGUGGUUGGAAACCAUUUACGUCUGUGUGUGGUGAAACCUCCAGAGAAUGAGUUAGUCUUCAAAACAUUGGUAACCAUGGAAACCCUUGGAGGCUCUCACUGUAAAUUCAUGGAGGCAUCCAGAAAGCCUUGCAUUUUGCGGGUUUUAGUGACUUUGGCUUGAUCAAUGUACUGAAGCAAUAUGCUGGAUGUUUUAUUGUGUUUGCUGUGUUUAAGGUCCGGCCCACAGCCUGUGAGUGCUAGACAGACACUCUGUCACUAAGCCCCCUGUCCUUAAGCGAUAUGUUCUGUACUGGUGUCUCCUGACACCCUGUAUUCUGUCUGGUGAACACAAUCAUGAUUUAAAAUGAAUACACUGAAUGUAAGUGUGAUGGAAAUCUUAGUAGAGCUUGUCAUAGUCUUGGGUAUCCCUUUUAGUAACUUGGGAUUCUAAAAUUAUGUUAGUUGGGGCGGCAGAGACUUAAAAGUGACUUGACACUGUCAAUAAAUGUACAUAUUAAA